ensembl:lncRNA
GCCUUUCUAACUUUAGGUCCUCAGAGAUUGAGUCUGGGUUUAUAUCUGUACUCAGGGUGUCUUGAUCUUAGAACAGUGAAGCCCCGAUUGUACGGAGGCGUCAACACAGCACAAGGGGCUGGCUGAGUCUGACAGUCACUCUCUUCAAGACCUGGGCCAGUGGCUCUGACCGUCUGGCUGCUGUGUAACCAGCCCCGUAGGUUCUGGCCAGUUUCACGCAGUCCUGCUUUCCUGGAAUUCUACUCCCUAAUGAAAUAUUACAUAGACUGCUCUCCAGACUCAUUCCUCUUGUUGGACAACUUGGCUUUGCCUCUUCUCAGAGGAUACAUCAUGCAUCAUAUGGUGCCCCGCCUGUUGGAUUAGCUUUUCGUGAACAAUCGUGUUGGAACUUUCAAAUGUUUGCCAUGAGAGUGUUGGUUUGUACCACUUGUGUAUGUGGGACUAUAUUAUCAAAGUAUGAAGGCACCAGAUGAGAUCCCUGUCAAUUUGCCAAGUGGAGCUUUUGUGGAAACUACACCUUUAAAAAAAUUCCAUUCAAAGCAGCUUUGAUUUGGAAUUUUUAAAGGACACAUGAUUUCCCUUUCAGAUGUGAUCUAGUAGGGGUGUAUUGUCAAUGUGUACCAA